UGGGGAAUAUUGCGCAAUGGGGGAAACCCUGACGCAGCGACGCCGCGUGCGGGAUGAAGGCCUUCGGGUUGUAAACCGCUUUUGAUUGGGAGCAAGCUUUCGGGUGAGUGUACCUUUCGAAUAAGCGCCGGCUAACUACGUGCCAGCAGCCGCGGUAAUACGUAGGGCGCAAGCGUUAUCCGGGAUUAUUGGGCGUAAAGAGCUUGUAGGCGGUUCGUCGCGUCUGGUGUGAAAGCCCAUCGCUUAACGGUGGGUUUGCGGCGGGUACUGGCGGGCUAGAGUGCAGGAGGGGAGACUGGAAUUCUCGGUGUAACGGUGGAAUGUGUAGAUAUCGGGAAGAACACCAAUGGCGAAGGCAGGUCUCUGGGCUGUUACUGACGCUGAGAAGCGAAAGCGUGGGGAGCGAACAGG
rnacentral:rRNA from 1 species